GCCAUCUUAGCUCAGAGGUAGAGCAACGGUUUCGUAAACCGUAGGUCCCGGGUUCAAAUCCCGGAGAUGGCUCCA
rnacentral:tRNA from 1 species